AGAAUCAACGCUGGCGGCGUGCCUCAGACAUGCAAGUCGAACGCGAAAGCUUUCUUCGGAGAGCAAGUAGAGUGGCGCACGGGUGAGUAACACGUGGGUAAUUUACCUUUGGGUGGGAAUAACAGCCGGAAACGGCUGCUAAUACCGCAUAAUGCAGCGGCAUCUUAAUGAUGACAGUUGUUAAAGCGAGGGAUCGCAAGACCUCGCGCCAGAAGAGAAGCCCGCGGCAGAUUAGCUAGUUGGUGAGGUAAUGGCUCACCAAGGCGACGAUCUGUA
rnacentral:rRNA from 1 species